rnacentral:rRNA from 1 species
GACGUACGCUGGCGGCGUGCUUAACACAUGCAAGUCGAACGGAAAGGCCCUGCUUUUGUGGGGCGCUCGAGUGGCGAACGGGUGAGUAACACGUGAGUAACCUGCCCUUGACUUUGGGAUAACUUCAGGAAACUGGGGCUAAUACCGGAUAGGAGCUCCUGCUGCAUGGUGGGGGUUGGAAAGUUUCGGCGGUUGGGGAUGGACUCGCGGCUUAUCAGCUUGUUGGUGGGGUAGUGGCUUACCAAGGCUUUGACGGGUAGCCGGCCUGAGAGGGUGACCGGCCACAUUGGGACUGAGAUACGGCCCAGACUCCUACGGGAGGCAGCAGUGGGGAAUAUUGCACAAUGGGCGGAAGCCUGAUGCAGCAACGCCGCGUGCGGGAUGACGGCCUUCGGGUUGUAAACCGCUUUCGCCUGUGACGAAGCGUGAGUGACGGUAAUGGGUAAAGAAGCACCGGCUAACUACGUG